rnacentral:rRNA from 1 species
GACGAACGCUGGCGGCGUGCUUAACACAUGCAAGUCGAACGGAAAGGCCUCAGCUUGCUGGGGUCCUCGAGUGGCGAACGGGUGAGUAACACGUGGGUGAUCUGCCUUGCACUCUGGGAUAAGCUUGGGAAACUGGGUCUAAUACCGGAUAUGAACUGCCUUUAGUGUGGUGGUUGGAAAGUUUUUUCGGUGCAUGAUGAGCUCGCGGCCUAUCAGCUUGUUGGUGGGGUAAUGGCCUACCAAGGCGUCGACGGGUAGCCGGCCUGAGAGGGUGUACGGCCACAUUGGGACUGAGAUACGGCCCAGACUCCUACGGGAGGCAGCAGUGGGGAAUAUUGCACAAUGGGCGGAAGCCUGAUGCAGCGACGCCGCGUGGGGGAUGACGGCCUUCGGGUUGUAAACUCCUUUCGACAGGGACGAAGCUUUUUGUGACGGUACCUGUAUAAGAAGCACCGGCUAACCACGUG